rnacentral:lncRNA from 1 species
AUUUCACUGUCAAUAAUGCUACGGAAUUGUAUUCUUCUGAAUGUUUUAUGACGCUGUUAUUUCUUUAUAUUUCUUAGGUAUACACUGCAGUGGUAGUCUAAGAAUCUAAUUUCUAUAAGCACAGGAAUUCAAGACUGGCUUACUUCAAGUAAGAGAUUUUGUCCUUGUAUUUGAAUAUAAUGCAUUAACUAGCUACCUCCACUGGAAUGUGGAAUGACAUAAACAUGACUAUUUGCUGCAGAAAUUGCCACGGAAAUGAUGAAGCAAUGUGCCAUGAUGACUGUACUAGGCAUGCUUGUAACAGCCUUUGCUGGGCCAACUACAUUACUUACUCUUACUGACUUUAUUGAUAGCAUAUGGGCAAUUUCUGUGGACAGGUUUUCCUAGUCACUUGAUAUCAAUAAGAUACCAAUGUCGAGAAGGGAGAUAAGCUGUUCAAAAAUUGAAACUGAAUGUUAGUGCUGGUAGGACAUAUGUACCUAGAUCUGCUGGAUCUAAGAUAUUGAACAAUAAAACCUAAAUUGUCAGUUGAGAAACGAUUUGACACUUUCAGUUAUCUUCUCUGAUAACAUUUUUCUUUAGGGGCGUGGGUAGGCAAAGCAUUUUCUGAAAAUGUCUGAAAUUUUUUGUUUUUUUGUGUUGCAGCUGUAUGACGUGUAGCAAGGACUAUUGUCUCUUUCUUAUAAUGUGAUGUCCAUGUUUAGAGUAAUCUUAUUUGAUUCUAUUUUGUAUAGAUCUGAUAAGGCUGGAAAACUGCUUGCUGAAGUAUUGUUAAAGGGGUUGCAAGGACAUAGGUACGCCAGUGGAAAAGAGGAAAUUGUGAUUAUUCUUAUUUAAUUACAUUCGAAGUCAGAGUUUACUGUUCCUCCGAUUUUCAUUUCUGGUUGUUCAAUCAAAAUUUGCAGGCCUGUGACACUCGUAGGUUUCUCACUUGGUGCAAGAGUUAUUUUCAGCUGCUUCAGAUUUUGCCUGAAAGUGAAAAUAGUGGUAACACAUUAAGCUGACCCACUAAUCUAUGGCACAGUUUAUUUGCUCCAUCCUAAAAUUAAAGACUAGAAAAAGUUAUAAAGAAAGGUGAAACAUAUUCAUCGAUUUAUAUUUUUUUAAUGUGCCACAUGCUCAUUUACAAUACGCCAAAUUAGACAAGAUGGUAGAUACACUUAAGAGUGUAUCUAUGUUUGGCAUGGUAUGUGUCCCUUAUUUGAUCUAUCAAUAGUCUAUCAUUUAUGCUUAAAACAAGCAUCUAUUGUUUCAUUCUUUGAGCAAUGCUGCUUGUACAGGCCACACACAAUACAGAGGGGUGGCUAAUUUCAUUUUUUUUAAAAUAAUCCCCCACCCAACAUGUGAGGGGCCUAUACAGCAGGCAAUUUCCUCCUCAGAAAUGGUUCACAUUCCAUCUAACUGAUGCGGGUAAAGGUGUUUCCAAUUUUCCACUCAAAUCACUAACAUCCCAUCUAAGUACAAAGACCUUAAUGUAAAGGCUUUAGUGCCAAUGUCAGCCAUCUAACACUUUGAACAAAAGAAUGAGGAAAUUGCCUAUUGUUCACAGGGGACAAAUCUCUCACAUGCUGGGUGGGGGAUUAUUUAAAAAAAAAAAAAAAAUUAUCCACCCCCCUGUUUUCACAGGGCCUGUACAGGUAGCACUACUCUUCUGAGGAUUGGAUAACUAGAACCUGCCGGCAUGGACUAACACACUUAAGAAUUAUUAGAGAAGUACUGUACCAGUACUGUGCAGUUCCUUCAACAAGCUACCAUAAACAUAGAACGGGUGAUGGCUCGAAGUUUUUUGAUAGAAUGACAUGCUAUGAUUGAUCUAUUUCUGCCGUUUAAUUACAAUUUAGUACAUGACAUGGGAUUUUACCUUAUUACCUAAUUGCUAGCUUUGUACUUAAAUAUCUCAUAGUUUUGUCUCUCAAUGUUAAAACUUCAAACCUGAGUAUAAGCUAAACAAAAAAGUACCUCCAGAUUUAAGAAUCCAAACAAAUGAUUCUGGAAAUUUCUACAGGAUGGAUAUCAAUUCUAUCUGCAUUGCAAAUUUAACUUCUUUUCAUAUAUGAUCCUGGGUCCUAUUAUUCUGAUGACUUAUAAUAAACAACAUUCCUUCCAAUCCCACCCCCCAGUUGAAGGUUUCAAAUAGUAAAUCAUGCCCUUUUAGACAACUUAGAUUUUAGAUAAAAUGUUGAUUCAGUAUGGCCUUAGAAUAGGCACAUGUCAUAGUAUUAAGAUUUACGGACUCCCAUUGCUAAUAGUUAAUUAAUAAAAUCAUGUGCUAAGCCUUUGAGAAAAAUAAACGUUGCCCGGAUGUCGUCGUCCUUCAAACAACUUGACUUUUUAGGUGGGAACUCGACCUCCAAAAGAAAAUCUCUUUUAAGUUCUGUAUUAUAAAAUACUGAUUCACUCCCCUAUUUUUUGUCAGCUGGACUUGUGGAAAGAGUUGUUCUACUUGGAGCACCCAUUGCAAUUAAAGAAAUGAACUGGGAAGCUACUCGGCAGGGAUUGUUGCUUUACCUUCUGCAUUCAUAUUCACAAAUAUUGAUAUUGUAUCAAUAAUAGGCACAUAUGCAUCAGUUACUGUUAUUGCAUAUGUUUAACAUUCUCUAUUAUGCAGGUGGUGGCUGGAAGGUUUGUGAAUGCAUAUUCUACCAACGAUUGGAUACUUGGAAUUGCGUUUCGUGCCAAGUAUGCAAGUCUUAAAUCUACUGUGAAAAUAUUAGGAUUGUGAAAUUGAUAGGUAGAUCACAUCUUGCUUUUGAAGUUGAGAUUUGUGCCUAACUGUGUCAAUAGAAGUAUCAAAACAAAAGAAGAAGUGAAUUUUUUUUGUCCAUUCUUUUGCUUAUUGAUUUUCGAUGUUGCCCUUUGCCUAUAACAGUCUUCUGACACUAGGAUUGGCAGGAAUUCAACCAGUGGAAGUGCCUGGAAUUGAAAAUGUAAAUAUUAUUCGUAAUGCUGGUCAACAUAGCGUAACAUAUGUUUGGGAUUUCAACCUUUAUCUCUCCAUUGUUUUUGACAGGUUAACGUAACUAGCAUAAUUGAUGGUCACUCUUUUAUCUUUGGAAUGCCCAGGAAAUCCUAGAACAGCUCGAACCGAUUUUCAGUCCUCCCCCUGUCAAAACAUAGUUUGUACUGAAAUUCUGGCAUAGAGUGCAAUUGCAUCAGAGGCUUUGUUCUUGUCGGAAAUGGAGGUUUGGAUCUAAUUUUAAGUGUUACCGUAGUCGGCUUGUGUAUUCUUGAACCGAGGAUAUUUCAUUAGUUACUGCUUGGUACUUCUAUAAAUUUCAUUUUAUCCUCAUUCUUUGCGCAAUAUGAAUCAUAAGAAUUGAACAAAUGAAACAGGUAAACAGGUGGUAAUAUUGAAGAUCUGUACUUGCUCGUGUUACUGAGGAGAUGAAGAGUGGCUAUAAAAGUGCAAAACAAAUGCUGGAGUUCCCAUACGAGAAAUUAAGUAGAUGCCAUAUUUUUGGAACUGAUACAAAUCAACAUUGCCAAGAAUGUAGAAUGUAAAAUGAAUAAUGUUAAUUUACAUAAACAUAA